rnacentral:rRNA from 1 species
GACGUAGGGUCCAAGCGUUGUCCGGAUUUACUGGGCGUAAAGAGCGCGUAGGCGGCUCGUUAAGUGUGAAGCUAAAUCUCUAGGCUCAACCUGGAAACUAUCUCGCAUACUGGCGAGCUGGAGUGAUGAAGAGGUUUGUGGAAUUCCUGGUGUAGCGGUGAAAUGCGUUGAUAUCAGGAGGAACACCCAUGGCGAAGGCAGCAAACUGGUCAUCAACUGACGCUGAGGCGCGAAAGCGUGGGUAGCAAACAGG